AUACUCAACAAUAAUGCAUACGGUGGAUGCCUUGGUCGAAAGUACCGAUGAAGGACGUAACAAGCUGCGAUAAGCUUUGGGGAGCUGCUAAUAAGCUUUGAUCCAGAGAUUUCCGAAUAAAGUAAUUACCCCGCCUCGGCGGGGGAUCCCUACAUGAAUACAUAGUGUCGGGAGGGGUACGCGCCGAACUGAAACAUCUAAGUAAGCGCAGGAAAAUAAAUCAACAGAGAUUCCCCCAGUAGCGGCGAGCGAAAAGGGAGGAGCCCAAACCCUGAGAGUAAUCAAAGGGGGUUGUAGGAAUCCAAUAUCUGAUCCUUUAAUGGUAGCUAAAUACACUGGAAAGUGUAACCAAAGAGAGUGAGAGUCUCGUAAGCGAAACCAAAAAAGGCGGUAGGAUCACCUGAGUAGCACAGGACACGUGUAAUCCUGUGUGAAUCCAGCAAGACCACUUGCUAAGGCUAAAUAUACUUUCGGACCGAUAGUGAACUAGUACCGCGAGGGAAAGGUGAAAAGAAGAGCGAAACGCUCAGUGAAAUAGUACCUGAAACCGUAUGUUGACAAGCAGUGGAAGUGUGCGUUGCGCAUAGGAUAUAAGGAGAAGGAUAGAAGUGAUCAGUCAAAAUUGACUAAUCAUUACUUCCUAUGAUCCUUCUAUCUUGCGCGCAGCGCAUACGACCGCGUGCCUAUUGAAGAAUGAACCGGUGAGUUACCGCAUCCCUUUUGCUUAAGCCAUUUUGUGGCGGAAGCGUAGUGAAAGCGAGGGUUAAUAGCCCGAUUUAAAGGAUGCGAUAGACCCGAAACCGAGUGAGCUAUCCAUGUCCAGGGUGAACUCCGACGAAAGUCGGAGGGAGGCCCGAACCCGUUGUUGUAUCAAUAACUUGGGAUGAGAUGUGGUUAGAGGUGAUAUGCCUAACGAACUCGGAGAUAGCUGGUUCUCCUCGAAAUAUAUCUAGGUAUAGCCUGAAAGGUAAGCACAGGGGUAGAGCACUGGAUCGAUUUUUCAGCGUAAGCUGGAAGAUUGAAUCAAACUCCGAAUACUGUGCCAAUUACUUUCAGAGUCAGUCCGAUCCGGCUAAGCGGAGCGGGCCUGAGGGAAACAUCCCAGACCAACAGCUAAGGUCCCUAAAUGCAAGUUAAGUGUUAAAGGAAGUCAUAUUCCUUAGACAGCCAGGAAGUUGGCUUAGAAGCAGCCAUCUUUUAAAGAUAGCGUAACAGCUCGCUGGUCUAGUCACGGAGUGUGGCACCGACAAUGAAUCGGGGCUAAACUUGCUACCGAAGCUUUGGGUCUUGUGCUUCGCACAGAGGAUAUUAGGAAGAAGGAUAGUAGUAACUAGUCUUUUUGAUUAAUCACUGCUUCCUGUUAUCCUACUAUCUUUUGUGUGGAGCACGAGGCGGUAGAGGAGCGUUCUAUACGGAGUGAAUAGUUGUCGUAAGGCGACUUGGACUGUAUAGAAGUGAGAAUGCCGGUAUGAGUAGCGAAUUUACGUGAGAAACGUAAUCGCCGAAUGCCCAAGGUUUCCCACGCAAUGUUAAUCAGCGUGGGGUUAAUCGGUCCUAAGGUCAGUCCUCCUUUUGGAGGAGUAGCCGAUGGAUUACAGGUUAAAAUUCCUGUAUUGAGGUUGUUCUGACAAGUCCUCUUGUGCUUCGCACAGAGGAUAUUAGGAAGAAGGAUAGUAGUAACUAGUCUUUUUGAUUAAUCACUGCUUCCUGUUAUCCUACUAUCUUUUGUGCGGAGUGCAAGUAAGGAGCUUUCAAGGGUGAACGAAGUGGAAUAGUCAAGUCAGGCAAUGCCUGAUUUAAAUAGCAAGCAAGUAGAAAUCGGCAAAUCCGUUUUUAUGUUUAUGUGAGCUAUGAUGACGUAAGUUGACGAUUUUCUGUUUCCAGGAAAAGACUCGUGUAAGAGAACAAUUUUAACCGUACCGUAAACCGACACAGGUGGGCGAGUUGAGUAUACAAAGGCGAUCGGGAGAACUAUCCUUAAGGAACUCGGCAACGAAAGCUGGACGUAACCUUUGGGAGAUGUCCUGGUCCGACGUAACGUCGGACUUACAACAAAAGACGCUAAGCGACUGUUUAACAAAAACACAGGUCCCUGCUAAAUCGAAAGAUGAUGUAUAGGGGCUGACACCUGCCCAGUGCCAGUAAUUUACUGUCUCAAGUGACUUCCGACGUAAGUCGGAAUGAGCCUGGGGCCUAAGAUCUGGUGAACGGCAGCAGUAACUAUAACUGUUCUAUGGUAGCGAAGUUCCUCGUGUUAUAGGGUAUUUUAAUACCCUUACAGACAGGGGACAGUAUCGAGUAAUUGAUAUUUGCAAACUUGGCUAUAUGCUGGAAUAACUGAGUAUCCGGUGCUAGUUGACUUUUGGGUUAAUUUUGGGUAAUACUAGAAUUAAUGUCCAAUUUAACUAAAAAUGCAUCCGGUGCAGUCAAUCAGCAGGAAACGUCGCUAGUUUCUAAGUUCUUCUAUUACACUGGUUUUUGUGUUGGAGAGUUGAGUUGCUCGGUAAUUCGGGCAAAUGAUAAAAGAGGCAGAGGUUUUUAUUUCAUGCCUGAUAUCACAAUUUCCAAUGCAGAUAGAAAUCUUCUACAAGAAAUAAAUGGGGUAGUAGGUCGGAAUUUAGGGAAUAUCAGUCCAAUUAAGGGAGGGUAUAACCUAAAAUUCAGAGGCAAAAAGAAAGUUGAAAUAAUAUUUCAUUUUCUUCAGAAACACCCAGUUAUUACGGGAGAUUUAGCCAGAAAAAAGCUUGAACUUUUACAGAAUGUUUUACCGGCAAUUGGUAAAGAUUCUGAAGUUCUAAAUAGAGAAAAAGUAAUAGAAAAAUGUCGUAAAGAUUUAAAAGAUCUUAAGCUUAAUGGUCUUGUUAAAGAGAGUAUUGAUUUAAAUCAUUUUAAAGAUGAUGAGAUCGGUUUCUUUCUGGCAGGAAUUAUUGAUGCUGAAGGAUCGUGUGGCUUUAAAAAAUCAGGUUUAAGAUUACAGCCAUUUUUCGCAGUAGCAAUGAAAGAUCUGAAAAUCAUUGAAUUGAUUAAAGACUUUCUUAAUUGCGGAAACAUUCAUGUUAGAACGAAUGAUGGUUUAUAUCAUUGGGAGACCAGUAAAAUUUCUGAUGUACUUAAAGUUGUUGAAAUUUUUAUGACUAGAUAUCCUUCAAAACUUAAAAAGAUGAAGGAUAGAAUGAAGAAUCUAAGACGAACCCUCAACGACUAUACGCCAAGAUCCCGAAAUUUCGGGAAAAUGAUAUAGUCUGAACCCUUAAGCGAUUAAGGGAACUGAGUAGAAAUAUCUCAGUCUCUUUGAGAGAUCAAAGAAGUAACAAAAUUGUGUCUGGCGAGUUCAGACCCGCACGAAAGGUUGAACGACUUAGCGACUGUCUUGAGGAUAGACCCGGCGAAAUUGCAAUGGCUGUGAAGAUGCGGCCUUCCCAUACUAAAUUUAAAAUUGUGUAGCGUAGGAGGGACUCCGACGUAACGUCGGAGGACAAUGAAACACCUCUCUUUUUUGAAUUUAGGUCUUACCUACUCCCUUAUAAAAACAGGGAAUGAGACAAGGUCUGGCGGGCAGUUUAACUGGGGCGGUUCCCUCCAAAAGAGUAACGGAGGGGUACUAAGGUACACUUAGCGCGUAAGGAAAUCGCGCAUCAAGCGUAAAGGUAUAAAGUGUGCUUAAUAGCGAGACUCACAAGUCGAGCUAAUACGAAAGUAGGUCUUAAUGAUCCCCUGAUUGUUCGUGGGAACGUCAGGGCUUAUCGGAUAAAAGUUACCCCGGGGAUAACAGGCUAGUCUUGCCCUACAGUCCACAAGGACGGCAAGGUUCGGCACCUCAACACAUCGGGGUGUGGCAGAAGUAAUUCUGUAGCGCUGUUAUAACUUGGAAAUAAAAGUCUUUUUGUAAAUUUACUAGCUAAAAUCGGUGAAGUCCUAAAAGUAAUUGAAGGAUAAUACCGAGGGAAGUCCGACGUUACGUCGGACCCCGUAACGACUUUGGUCCAUUGGACCAUUAUUUAAGGUUCCGGAUAUUCCGGAUUAAAAACUUGAAUAAAAGGCUAGCUCCCGAUGAUACAUCGGGAUGAAGGUAUAGUCUGAUCCUGCAAGUAAUUGCAGAAAAUCCGACAGCGAUGUCGGCUCAUCGCAGCGCGGGGCUGAAGCAGGUCCCAAGCGUCUGGCUGUUCGCCAGUUAAAGCGGUACGCGAGCUGGGUUCAGAGCGUCGUAAGACAGCUCGGACUCUAUCCAGUAUGGGCGUUUUGAUUCUUGAGGGGAGUUGUCUCUAGUAAGAAAUUGCUACUUGGUCGAGAAAUCGACCUUGACAACUUGGCUAAAAACGGUGAAGCCCUCUUGACUUUGGGUUUAGUUUGGUUCUAUGCUAAAUCCAUAACAAAAAAGUCAAUGGGUAAUACCGUGGGAAGACUCUCUAAAGCAAAUCCACUAGAUCUUGCAUAUAUUGCAGGUUUUCUGGAUGGUGAUGGAAGUAUUAUGCUUCAGAUGCACCGUCGGAAAGCAGGUGAAGAGACUUUUAGGGUGAAAACAGUAAUUUGUUUUUAUCAAGAUAGUCGUCAUAUUGAUAAGAUUAAAUGGAUUAAAGAGGUUUUAGAUUGCGGGUAUAUUUAUACCCGGCGUGAUCAUAUUAGUGAACUACGUAUUGAAGGAUUUCAAAGAGUAUUUGAAGUUCUCGUCAAUCUUAAGCCAUACCUGCGAUUUAAGAAAAAACAAGUUAACUUGAUGUUAAAGAUUAUUCCAAAAUUACAGCAAAAGAUGUUGUUCAAACAAAAUACUGCGAUUUGGAUUAAGAAGAUGCAAAGUUAUAACUAUUUUUCAUCGCAAAGGAAUGCUUUAGAAGAUGUCCCUGUAACGACUGAUAUAUGAGGUACCAGAUAUUCUGGAAAUUAAACUCAUAUUAUAUGCCAAUUCCGUAACGUGAAGGCGACGGAAAAGAUAUAGUCUGAUUCUCUAAGAAAUUAGAGCUAACGAAAUGACGAGAGGACCGAGAUGAGGCAACCUCUAGUGUGCCUGUUGUACCAAAAGUGCAGCGCAGGGUAGCUACGUUGUUUUCUGAUAAGCGCUGAAAGCAUCUAAGCACGAAGCAGACCCCAAGAUGAGGAAUCUUGAAAAGCAAUCCCGCAAGGGAUUGUAAGACCCCUGGGAGACUACCAGGUUGAUAGGUUGGCGGUGUAAGUGCUGUAAGGUAUUUAGCCUACCAAUACUAAUGGUCAUCGUUGAGAUUUU
rnacentral:rRNA from 1 species